AUCGCUUCUUGGCCAUUUGGCUAAGAUCCAGAGUAGUAUCUGUUCCUAUCAGCUGAAUAGAGAGAAAUCUUCCAUCUGCUGGUUCACCGCACCUAAU
ensembl:snRNA U2 U2 spliceosomal RNA